AAUUGCUUCCUAUUCUAGGCAGUUGUUUUAAAUUAAACUUUUAUUUUGUGUCUCCCCCCUUCAGCAUCCUGUCCAAGACAAAGCUACCUUUCCUCGUGGGAAUGGACUGGCCGGGCUUUGGCAAUCUGGCCCCUCGAAAGUCUUAAGUGACCUCUUCCAGCAGGGGAAGACUGAAGCAAGGGGUGCCAGAAAGAACUGGAGUUUCUGGAGAAUAAAAGCUGGAAGCGUGCCCCCGAAAAUCCCCCCGGGUGGUCAGUGGUCUGACUUGCAGGGACCGGUGGCCUUGGCCAGGAGCGGUCCUGUGGGAAGCGCCUUUGCCCAGGCUGUAAUUUUAAUUUCCAUUGGCUGCUUGGCAAAGCCCCCCUGAGUGAGCCCCAGUGCCUGGCAUGAGCGGAGCGGGCUUCCAGGGAGGUAUUCACCUGGUCAGCGUCAGGAACCAUCCUAACUGAGGCCUCGGUGAGUGCUUUUUGUAUGACUGGACAGUGAAGCUGUGUGAAUGACCUGGCUAGUGCUCGGUGUACUCCUAAUUAAAGUGUCUUUUACUCCGUGUUCCCAGGCUGCCUCUUUCCCUUCGGUUGCCGUGGAUGUGCCGGACACCUCUGGCAGGACUAACCCUGUGGCUUUUAUGUCCAACGUGCUGUGCUGUGUGCCUGCAGAAUUGCCACGAGAGGAAAUACUUCAGAGGGGCUCCCCUCCGGAUAAGCCCUGAAUAUGCCAGGAGGUUUCAGCCGGGAGGAAAGGAGCUGUGGAAGAAAAGCAGCCUGAAAAUAGCCAGCGGGGAUCAUCAGGUUUUCCAGGCAAGAAGAACAAGGAGAGAGAUGAGGGAAUCGGGUUCCAAUUCCUAAUGAUUUGGUGGGUGCAGGAAUGAUUUCUGUGUGUUUUCCAGUCCCUUUUGAUUCCUGAGAUGAUUUUAAAAUGAUGGCUUUAGCAAUCAACUAAAUCGGAGACGUUGUUUUUGAGAGGAAAUGAUGCCAAAUAAAUGCAGAGUUUUGGGUCAGUUUUUGGGAUGAUUUGGGUCAUUUUUUGGGGUCAGUUUGGGGUCACUGUUUGGGGUGAUUUGGGUCAGUUUUGGGUCAGCUUUUGGGAUGAUUGGGGUCAGUUUUGGGUCAGCUUUUGGGAUGAUUUGGGUCGGUUUGGGGUCAAUUUUUGGGGAGCACUGGGUGCUACUGGAGGUUGUUGGGGAGCACUGGGAGAGAAGAUGAAAAAUAAAGAGAAUAAAAAAUAAACGAAAUAAAAAAAGGAAAUAUAAAAAACAAAAGAAAAUUAAAAAAAAGGCAAAAAACCUAAAAAGGAAAUAAAA